rnacentral:rRNA from 1 species
CCCUUAGAUGUCCGGGGCCGCACGCGCGCUACACUGAAGGAAUCAGCGUGGCUUUCUCCCUGACCCGAAAGGGUUGGGAAACCCGUUGAAUCUCCUUCGUGAUAGGGAUUGGGGCUUGAAAUUGUUCCCCAUGAACGAGGAAUUCCCAGUAAGCGCGAGUCAUAAGCUCGCGUUGAUUACGUCCCUGCCCUUUGUACACACCGCCCGUCGCACCUACCGAUUGAAUGGUCCGGUGAAGCCUCGGGAUUGCUGUGAGUUUCCUUCAUUGGGAACUCGCGGCGAGAACUUGUCUAAACCUUAUCAUUUAGAGGAAGGUGAAGUUGUAACA